AACGCUCCCUCAUGGGCAGCCACCUCUCGAUGUCGGGGGUCGCUUUGGGGUCGCAGUUCUUGGGCAGUUUGCCUAAAAAGAAGAUGAGGAGGAAUCACUGAAGGAGCUCAGCUCAGCAUAAUAAAUGAGACUGAUCUGUAGUCAAAAAAUCCAGACGCAUUAGCAUAGAGGAGAUGAAAGUGUUGCCACCUACACUCAUCCUUCCCACAAGCAACAAUAUUCUGGACACCAUAGAGCCGAUGUGGAAGACAGCGACGAGAGCUUACCCUUGUUCUUUGGGAAGAUUUUCUCCUGUGACCUUAGCGGCUUUUUUCCUGACAUAGGUCGCUCCGUGGGAGUUCUCCAGCUCAUCCACGUCCACGUUGAAGGCCAUCGUGUCUGCCGAUGGUAGGUGUUUGCUGAGGCUGGAGAGGAACGCUAAGGACAUGUUUCCCAUUGGCAUUUCAAAUGUACCUUCUUUCAAAACAUCAUAAGGUCAUCCAGGAGUCCUUGUCUUGCUCUUCUGAUUAUUGGCUUUUGCAUUAGUAUUAUUGAUGGAUAUACAAUGUUUUACAAGAGUCUGUAUGAAAAUUUAAAUUAAUGAUAUAUGUUCUAAGCUAUUGACAUCAUACUAGGCAACCCUGGAUUAGAUUCUGGAUCAACGUCUAUGGUGUGGUCUUCUAGGGCUGUUUUCACAAUAAAGCAACUAAUCAUUUUGUUUAUAAAA